rnacentral:rRNA from 1 species
AACCUUCCCUAUAGUAGAGAAUAGCCCGGCGAAAGUCGGAUUAAUGCUCUAUGUUGUAUUUAGAGGACAUCUGAAGAAUACCAAAGGUUUACCGCUAUAGGAUGGGGAUGCGUCUGAUUAGGUAGUAGGCGGGGUAACGGCCCACCUAGCCGACGAUCAGUAGGGGUUCUGAGAGGAAGGUCCCCCACAUUGGAACUGAGACACGGUCCAAACUCCUACGGGAGGCAGCAGUGAGGAAUAUUGGUCAAUGGACGGAAGUCUGAACCAGCCAAGUAGCCGUGCAGGAUGACGGCCCUAUGGGUUGUAAACUGCUUUUAUAUAGGGAUAAAGUCGGGGACGUGUCCCCGUUUGUAGGUACUAUAUGAAUAAGGACCGGCUAAUUCCGUGCCAGCAGCUGC